ensembl:miRNA
CCCUGGCCUGGCCUCCUGCAGUGCCACGCUCCGUGUAUUUGACAAGCUGAGUUAGACACUCCGUGUGGUAGAGUGUCAGUUUGUCAAAUACCCCAAGUGUGACACAUGCUUAGCAGCUCCAGACCAGGG